rnacentral:rRNA from 1 species
GUGCCAGCCGCCGCGGUAACACGGAGGGUGCAAGCGUUAUUCGGAAUUACUGGGCGUAAAGCGCGCGUAGGUUGCGUGGUAAGUCAGACGUGAAAGCCCUCGGCUCAACCGAGGAACCGCAUUUGAAACUGCUAUGCUUGAGUACGACAGAGGGUGGCGGAAUUCCCGGUGUAGGGGUGAAAUCCGUAGAUAUCGGGAGGAACACCAGUGGCGAAGGCGGCCACCUGGGUCGAUACUGACGCUGAGGCGCGAAAGCGGGGGUAGCAAACAGGAUUAGAUACCCGGGUAGUCC